AGAGUUUGAUCCUGGCUCAGAUUGAACGCUGGCGGCAUGCCUUACACAUGCAAGUCGAACGGCAGCGCGGGGGCAACCCUGGCGGCGAGUGGCGAACGGGUGAGUAAUACAUCGGAACGUGUCCUGGAGUGGGGGAUAGCUCGGCGAAAGCCGGAUUAAUACCGCAUACGCUCUGAGGAGGAAAGCGGGGGAUCUUCGGACCUCGCGCUCAAGGGGCGGCCGAUGGCGGAUUAGCUAGUUGGUGGGGUAAAGGCCUACCAAGGCGACGAUCCGUAGCUGGUCUGAGAGGACGACCAGCCACACUGGGACUGAGACACGGCCCAGACUCCUACGGGAGGCAGCAGUGGGGAAUUUUGGACAAUGGGGGAAACCCUGAUCCAGCAAUGCCGCGUGUGUGAAGAAGGCCUUCGGGUUGUAAAGCACUUUUGUUCGGGAAGAAAUCCUUCGGGCUAAUACCUUGAGGGGAUGACGGUACCGGAAGAAUAAGCACCGGCUAACUACGUGCCAGCAGCCGCGGUAAUACGUAGGGUGCGAGCGUUAAUCGGAAUUACUGGGCGUAAAGCGUGCGCAGGCGGUUCGCUAAGACCGAUGUGAAAUCCCCGGGCUUAACCUGGGAACUGCAUUGGUGACUGGCGGGCUAGAGUAUGGCAGAGGGGGGUAGAAUUCCACGUAGCAGUGAAAUGCGUAGAGAUGUGGAGGAAUACCGAUGGCGAAGGCAGCCCCCUGGGCCAAUACUGACGCUCAUGCACGAAAGCGUGGGGAGCAAACAGGAUUAGAUACCCCAGUAGUCC
rnacentral:rRNA from 1 species